GCUUUGCAUGUGAAUCUGCAUAAUAUUGCUUACACUAGAUUAAACGGAAGUUUUCAAUUCUUGUAAACGCAAGUUAGGAGCAAUACCUACGUAUGAUAAGUGAAACAUUAUAUUUUUAUUUUGUAUAAUCAACAUCGUGUAUCAUUUUGGGAGCAGUGAGCAUAUAACUUUUUAAAAAUGAAUGGAAUCAUUCCUGAAAUGGAACAAAUUAUUAGUCAGCUUGAAAGAGGUACUGUAGUAACUAAGUUUUUUACACGAAAACGACCAGAAAAGAAAACUCUUAUGAUCAGGAGAGAAACUAGACAGAUUGUAUGGUCAAGGAGUACAACAUUCAGACCUUUUGAUGGUUCAGUUGAAAUAAGAGAAGUUAAGGAGAUUAAGGUAGGAAAACAAUCUAAAGAUUUUGAAAAGUGGCCAGAAGAUGCUAAAAAAAUGGAGAAUUUAAGGUGUUUUGUUAUAUCUUACGGAUCUGAAUUUAGAUUGAAAACUCUUUCUAUAUCUGCUCUUAGUGAAAAAGAAUGUGAAUUAUGGGUUAAAGGAUUACGUCACUUAGUACAAGAUACUAUAAAUGCACCAUAUCCUUUACAAGUUGAGAGAUGGCUUAGAAAAGAGUUUUAUAUCAUGGAAAGUUCUCGUGAAACAAUUACUAUGAAGGAUAUAAAAGCAUUUUUACCUAGAAUUAAUUGUAAAAUUGCUACAAGUAGACUUAGAGAACUAUUCAAAGAAGUAGAUACAAAAAAUCGGAAUGAACUUGGGUUUGAUGAUUUCAUUAUUCUAUAUCACAAGUUAAUAUUUGAUCAAAAUUUUUUGCAGAAUCUUGCAGAAUGGAAUAAAUUAUCAAGUUAUUGUCAAACUGGACAAACUGUUACGCUCCAAGAAUUUCAGAACUUUUUAAUAACUGAACAACAAGAUGAUUUAGGCAACAAUGAGUUAGAAAUAUCACGUUUUAUCAGAGAAUAUUUGCAAGACCCUCAAAGAGAUAUACAAGAACCAUACUUUACUUUCUCAGAAUUUAUUGAUUUUUUAUUUUCUAAGCAAAAUGGUAUCUGGAAUCAAAAAUUUAAUCAAGUUUCUCAAGACAUGACUCUGCCUCUUGCAUAUUAUUGGAUAGCAUCAUCACAUAACACGUAUUUAAUGGGAGAUCAGAUUAGCAGUGAAAGUAGUUGUCAGGCUUAUGUACGUGCACUGAGAGCAGGAUGUAGAUGUAUUGAGCUUGAUUGUUGGGAUGGUCCAGAUGGAAUGCCAUUUAUAUUUCAUGGCCACACUCUCACCACUAAAAUUAAAUUCUUGGACGUUAUUAAAACUAUUAAGGAAUAUGCUUUUGCUACAUCUGAGUAUCCUGUAGUUUUGUCUAUCGAGGAUAACUGUACUUUAACGCAACAACGUAAAAUGGCAACAACUAUGCAAGAAGUAUUUGGAGACAUGUUGUUAGUCCAACCUGUUGACAAAAAUGAAACAUGUCUACCUUCUCCAUACGUAUUACGUAGAAGAAUUUUACUAAAACACAAGAAACUUCCCGAUGGUGUCGAUGAAUCUUCGUUUCUUGUUCGGAAUGAUGAAAGCAGACAAGAGAUGGAUCUCAGAAACACUGUGAAAAAUGGAAUUCUUUAUUUGGAAGAUCCUAUUGACAGAGAGUGGAAUCCUCAUUUUUUUGUAUUAACACAGCAGAAACUAUUUUACACCGACACAUUUUCCAGAACACAAGAAACAGAGCAUGAUGAUGAUGACGAAAACAGCAUUCGAAGAUCAUCAGACGGCGCGCCAAAUGAUGAAUUGCAUUUUGGAGAAAAAUGGUUUCAUGGAAAAUUAGCAAGAGGAAGGGAAGAAGCUGAAGAAUUAUUGCAACGUUAUUCUUAUCUUGGAGAUGGUACUUUUUUAGUACGACAAUGCGUUACAUUUGUGGGCGAUUACUGUUUGUCAUUUUGGAGAAAAGGAAAAGUGAAUCAUUGUCGUAUUAAACUGAAACAAGAAAUGGGACAAACGCAAUAUUAUCUCAUUGAUACUAAUUGCUUCGAUAGUUUAUAUAGUUUAAUUACUCAUUAUCGUAAUCAUCCACUUAGAAGUCAAGAGUUUCUAAUCACCUUACAAGAGCCAGUGCCUCAACCAAAUAAACACGAGGAAAAGGAAUGGUGGCAUCCUGCAUGUACUCGAACUGCAGCAGAAGAGAUGUUAAAACGGAUACCUACAGAUGGUGCAUUCUUAGUAAGACCUAGUGAAAGAGAAAGUAAUUGCUAUGCAAUUUCAUUUAGAGCAGAAAAGAAAAUAAAGCACUGUAAAAUAAAACUCGAAGGAAGACUCUAUACCACUGGAACUGUACAAUUUGAGAGUUUAGUCGAAUUAGUCAAUUAUUAUGAACGGCAUACAUUGUAUAAAAAGAUUAAAUUAAGUCAUCCUGUCAAUCAAGAUAUUAUUAGAAGAAUGGGACUGGAUAAUGAUGAUGGAUCUGUUUAUGGUAUCCCAGGAUAUAUGGAUCCUACAAGCUUCACAUCAAAGGUUACAGUUAAGGCUAUUUAUGAUUAUAAAGCGAGAAGAGACGAUGAAUUGACAUUAGUCAAGCAUGCUAUAAUUACUAAUGUCAAUCCACAAAGUGGAGGUUGGUGGAGAGGUGAUUAUGGUGGCAAAAGACAACACUGGUUUCCUGCUAAUUAUGUAGAACAAAUUGAUCAACAAGAAAAUCAGGGUGAUUCAGCAGAUUCUAUGAUGCUCGGUAGUUUGCAAAAAGGUUCGUUAGAUAUAAUGGGUGCUGUAGUUGAAUUAACGGUUUGUCAAGAAAGAUCUGGUUUGGAAUGGAUUUUAAGGAUACAAAAUCCUAGUAUGUGUACAGUAUUUGAAAUUGCGACACCUUCAAAGGAUACUGCAUUGGAAUGGAUGACCAGUAUCAAAGAGACUGCACAAAAUGCAAGUGUUAGGGAAAGUCAGCAUAAAGAAAUGGAAAGAACAUGGAGAAUAGCCAAGGAAAUGUCUAAUCUUAUUGUAUAUUUUAGAUCAGUUGCAUUUAACAUAGAGAAGUUAAGGACUAAAGGAUUUACAUUCAAUGAAAUGAGUAGUUUCCCUGAAACAAAAGCUGAGAAAUUAAUGUGUCAACAAGAAAACAAAUUUUUUAUAAAAUACCAUCAGAUUCAAUUUAGUAGGGUUUAUCCAAAGGGACAGCGUAUUGAUUCAUCUAAUUAUAAUCCUGUACCAAUGUGGAAUUCUGGUUGUCAGAUGGUAGCUUUGAAUUAUCAGACUGGAGAUAAAUCAAUGCAAUUAAAUCAAGCUAAAUUCAAAGAAAAUGGCAAUUGUGGUUAUUUAUUAAAACCAGAAUUCAUGUUCGGACAUGACUUUAAUCCAUAUGAUAAAAAUGUAUUACACGAAGUUAAUUCACUUAAAAUUAAUUUGAAAAUUAUUGGAGCCAGACAUUUAAUGAAAUCAGGAAGAGGUACUGUCAGUCCAUCUAUCGAAGUCGAAAUUGUGGGUGCAGAUUUUGAUUCAGGAAUAAAACUGACAACUAAAACUAUAUCGGAUAAUGGAUUUAAUCCAAUGUGGAACGAAACAUGCGAAUUUGAGAUAUUUAAUCCAUAUUUUGCCCUCAUAAGAUUUUUAGUGCAAGAUGAAGAUAUGUUUGGUGACAAUAACUUUAUAGGACAAGCUACUUACCCAAAAUCUGACGAGUGAACGUGCACCGAGAUGGAUGAUUGGAGGAGCGUCGUAGCCUUUCGGACCAUACUGUGACCCAGUUGACCUAUGGUUUACUGUUAGCGGCGUGCGGUGAGAUAACACAACGAAUAGCGGCACGUUGUCCAAAGGAUUGCCACGCACCGACACCAGUUGUUGGAUCGACUGGACCGCGCUGUGGUCCGAGCGGCUGCAACGUUUCUCCAAUCAUCUACAAGGUACGAUGUUUAAGAACAGGAUAUAGGAGUGUCCCUUUAAAGAAUAUGUAUAGUGAAGAUCUUGAGCUGGC